UACGGGAGGACAGCAGUGGGGAAGUAAUUGCACAAUGGGCGAAAGCCUGAUGCAGCUAUGCCGCGUGUAUGAAGAAGGCCUUAGGGUUGUAAAGUACUUUCAUCGGGGAGGAAAAAACAAAACUAAUAAUUUUAUUUCUUGACGUUACCCGAAAAAGAAGCACCGGCUAACUCCGUGCCAGCAGCCGCGGUAAUACGGAGGGUGCUAGCGUUAAUCAGAAUUACUGGGCGUAAAGAGCACGUAGGUGGUUUUUUUAAAGUCAGAUGUGAAAUCCCUGGGCUUUAACCUAGGAACUGCAUUUUGAAACUGAAAUACUAGAGUAUCGUAGAGGGAGGUAGAAUUCUAGGUGUAGCGGUGAAAUGCGUAGAUAUCUGGAGGAAUACCUGUGGCGAAAGCGGCCUCCUAAACGAAUACUGACACUGAGGGUGCGAAAGCGUGGGGAGCAAACAGGGAUUAGAUA
rnacentral:rRNA from 1 species